AGCAGCCGCGGUAAUUCCAGCUCCAAUAGCGUAUAUUAAAGUUGUUGCAGUUAAAAAGCUCGUAGUUGAAUUUCGGGAUCAAUAUAUCGGUCGUGCCUUUGGUACGUACUGGUAUCAUUGAUUUCUCCCUUCUGACGAAUCAUGAUGUCAUUAAUUUGGUGUUAUGAGGAGUUAGGACUGUUACUUUGAAAAAAUUAGAGUGUUUAAAGCAGGCAUUAGCUUGAAUACAUUAGCAUGGAGUAAUGAAAUAGGACGUUUGACCCUAUUUUGUUGGUUUCUAGGAUCGACGUAAUGAUUAAUAGGGAUAGUUGGGGGCAUUAGUAUUCAAUUGUCAGAGGUGAAAUUCUUGGAUUUAUUGAAGACUAACUACUGCGAAAGCAUUUGCCAAGGAUGUUUUCAUUAAUCAAGAACGAAAGUUAGGGGAUCGAAGACGAUCAGAUACCGUCGUAGUCUUAACCAUAAACUAUGCCGACUAGGGAUCGGAUGAUGUUAAUUUUAUAAUGACUCAUUCGGCGCCUUACG
rnacentral:rRNA from 1 species